GAUGAACGCUGGCGGCGUGCCUAAUACAUGCAAGUCGAGCGAACAGAUAAGGAGCUUGCUCCUUUGACGUUAGCGGCGGACGGGUGAGUAACACAUGGGUAACCUACCUAUAAGACUGGAAUAACUCCGGGAAACCGGGGCUAAUGCCGGAUAAUAUUUAGAACCGCAUGGUUCUAAAGUGAAAGAUGGUUUUGCUAUCACUUAUAGAUGGACCCGCGCCGUAUUAGCUAGUUGGUAAGGUAACGGCUUACCAAGGCAACGAUACAUAGCCGACCUGAGAGGGUGAUCGGCCACACUGGAACUGAGACACGGUCCAGACUCCUACGGGAGGCAGCAGUAGGGAAUCUUCCGCAAUGGGCGAAAGCCUGACGGAGCAACGCCGCGUGAGUGAUGAAGGUCUUCGGAUCGUAAAACUCUGUUAUUAGGGAAGAACAAAUGUGUAAGUAACUGUGCACAUCUUGACGGUACCUAAUCAGAAAGCCACGGCUAACUACGUG
rnacentral:rRNA from 1 species